GAUGAACGCUGGCGGCGUGCCUAAUACAUGCAAGUCGAACGAACAGAUGAGGAGCUUUCUCCUCUGACGUUAGCGGCGGACGGGUGCGUAACACGUGGAUAACCUACCUAUACGACUGGGAUAACUUCGGGAAACCGGAUCUAAUACCGGAUAAUAUAUUGAACCGCAUGGUGCAAUAGUUAAAUACGCUUUUGCUGUCGCUUAUAGAUUGAUCCGCGCUGCAUUCGCUAGUUGGUAAGGUAACGGCUUACCAACGCAACGAUGCGAAACCGACCUGAGCGGGUGAUUGGAUACCUGGGAAGUGAGACUGGGUAGCGACUCCGAGGCGAGGCAGCAGCCGGGACUCUUACGCAAUGGGCGAAAGCGUAACAGAGCAACGUCGGGUGAGUGCUGAAGGACUUAGGCCCCUAAAACUAUGUUAGCCGUGAAGAUGAAAUGCGUAAGUACCUAGGAACGUCUUGACGGUACCUAAACAGAAAGCUCCGGCUAACUCCGUG
rnacentral:rRNA from 1 species